AGUGAACGCUGGCGGUAGGCCUAACACAUGCAAGUCGAACGGCAGCACAGUAAGAGCUUGCUCUUACGGGUGGCGAGUGGCGGACGGGUGAGGAAUACAUCGGAAUCUACUUUUUCGUGGGGGAUAACGUAGGGAAACUUACGCUAAUACCGCAUACGACCUACGGGUGAAAGCAGGGGAUCUUCGGACCUUGCGCGAUUGUAUGAGCCGAUGUCGGAUUAGCUAGUUGGCGGGGUAAAGGCCCACCAAGGCGACGAUCUGUAGCUGGUCUGAGAGGAUGAUCAGCCACACUGGAACUGAGACACGGUCCAGACUCCUACGGGAGGCAGCAGUGGGGAAUAUUGGACAAUGGGCGCAAGCCUGAUCCAGCCAUACCGCGUGGGUGAAGAAGGCCUUCGGGUUGUAAAGCCCUUUUGUUGGGAAAGAAAAGCAGCAGGUUAAUACCCCGCUGUUCUGACGGUACCCAAAGAAUAAGCACCGGCUAACUUCGUG
rnacentral:rRNA from 1 species